rnacentral:sRNA from 1 species
GUAAAACAUAUUAGACAAAUAUACAAAACAAAUAAAAAUCUGCUUAGUUUAUUAGAAAGAAAAUAUUUACUUUGAAAGAAUAUACUCAAACAAAACCGGGUAUUAUUAUAAGACUUUGUUCAUCAAAAUCAAACUACAUGUUGCAAAAAAAAAAAAAAAGAAUUAUGCAUACGUAAUAAAAUUCCAACCUAUAUAUAAUAUAAUAAAAGUAUGUUACCGUGACAAUUUUAAUCCCAAAAUGAGAUGAAGAUGAUGCUCCUGCCAAGAAGGCAACUCCAAAUGCCAUUUCAAAAAGGAAAACACAAAUCCAAAAUACUUUUUUCUGGCCUAAACGUGCUGCGAAUGAAUCAAUGCCAUGUUUUAUAUCUCCUUCUACGUCAG